rnacentral:rRNA from 1 species
CACGUAGGGCGCAAGCGUUGUCCGGAAUUAUUGGGCGUAAAGAGCUCGUAGGCGGUCUGUUGCGUCCGCUGUGAAAACUCGGGGCUUAACCCCGAGCCUGCAGUGGAUACGGGCAGACUAGAGGUAUGCAGGGGAGAACGGAAUUCCUGGUGUAGCGGUGAAAUGCGCAGAUAUCAGGAGGAACACCGGUGGCGAAGGCGGGUCUCUGGGCAACAACUGACGCUGAGGAGCGAAAGCGUGGGGAGCGAACAGG